rnacentral:rRNA from 1 species
UGGGGAAUUUUGCACAAUGGGUGAAACCCUGAUGCAGCGACGCCGCGUGAUUUAGAAGGCCUUCGGGUUGUAAAAAUCUUUUCUAUGGGAAGAAAAUGACAGUACCAUAGGAAUAAGGACCGGCUAAUUACGUGCCAGCAGCCGCGGUAAUACGUAAGGUCCGAGCGUUGUCCGGAAUCAUUGGGCGUAAAGGGUACGUAGGCGGGUAAGCAAGUUAGAAGUGAAAUCCUAUAGCUCAACUAUAGUAAGCUUUUAAAACUGCUCAUCUUGAGGUAUGGAAGGGAAAGUGGAAUUCCUAGUGUAGCGGUGAAAUGCGCAGAUAUUAGGAGGAAUACCGGUGGCGAAGGCGACUUUCUGGCCAUAACCUGACGCUGAGGUACGAAAGCGUGGGUAGCAAACAGG